rnacentral:rRNA from 1 species
UGGGGAAUAUUGCGCAAUGGCCGAAAGGCUGACGCAGCGACGCCGCGUGGGGGAUGAAGCAUUUCGGUGUGUAAACCCCUGUUGCCCGGGACGAACAAGCAGAUUUUUCUGCUCUGACGGUACCGGGUGAGGAAGCACCGGCUAACUCCGUGCCAGCAGCCGCGGUAAUACGGAGGGUGCGAGCGUUGUCCGGAAUCACUGGGCGUAAAGGGCGCGUAGGCGGUCUGCUAAGCGUGCGGUGAAAGCCCGGGGCUCAACCCCGGGUCUGCCGUGCGAACUGGUGGACUAGAGCACUGUAGAGGCAGGUGGAAUUCCGGGUGUAGCGGUGGAAUGCGUAGAGAUCCGGAAGAACACCGGUGACGAAGGCGGCCUGCUGAGCAGUAGCUGACGCUGAGGCGCGACAGCGUGGGGAGCAAACA